AUGGAGAGCUUUCAUGAUUUUAAGAUGACUAAGGACCUUCCUGUGGUUCAACAAGCUCAUGAGAUACAGUGCAUUGCCAAAGAGCUCGAACUCCUUAAGUGUGCCUUACCCGACAAGUUUGUGGCGGGUUGCAUUAUUGCUAAGUUGCCCCCUUCAUGGAGGAACUUCGCCACAGCUCUCAAACACAAGAGACAGGAGAUAUCAGUUGAAAAUCUGAUAGCGUCCCUUGAUGUUGAGGAGAAGGCUCGUGCUAAGGACACUACUGAGAAAGGAGAGGUAUUUCAAUCUCCCUCUUGGUGGAUUGAUACGGGUGCUAACGUUCAUGUGUGUGCUGACAUCUCUAUGUUCACUUCUUACCAGGCCGCACGGGAUUCCUCCGUCCUAAUGGGCAAUGGGUCACAUGCCUCUGUUCGUGGUGUUGGCACGGUAGAUCUGAAGUUCACUUCGGGGAAGAUCGUGCAGCUGAGGAACGUGCAGCAUGUCCCUUCUAUGAACAAGAAUCUUGUUAGCGGUUCCCUUCUCUGCAGAGAUGGGUUUAAGGUUGUGUUAGAAUCGAAUAAGGUAGUCAUUUCCAAGCAUGGACAAUUUAUUGGAAAAGGCUAUGAGUGCGGAGGCUUGUUCCGCUUUUCACUUUCAGAUUUCUGUAAUAAAUCCGUGAACCAUAUUUGUGGCGGUGUUAAUGACGAUACCAGUGUUUGGCAUUCUCGUUUAUGUCACAUUAAUUUUGGUUUGAUGUCUCGGUUAUCCAGCAUGAGUUUAAUUCCGAAAUUCACUAUUGCCAAAGGUUCUAAGUGCCAUAGUUGUGUGCAAUCAAAGCAACCUCGUAAGCCUCAUACGGCGGCCGAGGAGAGAAACUUGGCACCUCUAGAACUCAUACAUUCUGAUCUAUGCGAGAUGAAUGGUGUGUUGACAAAAGGUGAAAAGAGAUAUUUCAUGACAUUGAUUGAUGAUGCGACUAGAUUUUGCUAUGUUUACUUGUUGCGAACUAAAGAUGAAGCUUUAGACUACUUUAAAAUUUAUAAGGCUGAAGUUGAAAAUCAACUAGAGAGAAAGAUCAAGCGUCUUAGGUCGGAUCGUGGUGGAGAGUAUUUUCCUAAAAUCUUUGACGAAUUCUGUGAGGAACACGGUAUUAUUCAUGAGAGGACACCUCCCUACUCGCCCCAAUCUAAUGGGGUGGCCGAGAGGAAAAACCGCACUCUGUCUGACUUGGUGAAUUCCAUGCUCGACACUGCUGGUUUAUCAAAGGCAUGGUGGGGGGAGGCUUUGUUGAUUGCAUGUCAUGUCCUGAAUAGAGUUCCUAACAAGAAUAAAGAUAAAACCCCUUAUGAGGAGUGGGUUGGGAGAAAGCCAUCACUUUCGUAUUUGCGCACUUGGGGAUGCUUGGCAAAGGUCAACAUUCCCAUCCCAAAGAAACGCAAACUCGGACCAAAGACUGUGGAUUGCAUCUUUCUAGGUUAUGCUCAGCGGAGCAUUGGCUAUAGAUUUUUAGUAGUUAAAUCCGAGGUACCUGAUAUGCAUGUUGACACUAUAAUGGAAUCUCGUGAUGCAACAUUUUUUGAGAAUAUGUUUCCUAUGAAAGAUAUGCAUAGCACUGCUAGACUUUCUUCUGAGAUAAUUCCUGAAUCUAGUGCAUCUGAUGAUUAUUUUGAGCAACCACAUGAGAAGGAUGACAAUGAAGCUCCUACAAGGAGCAAGAGACAGAGGACUGCAAAGUCCUUUGGUGAUGAUUUCAUUGUGUACCUUGUGGAUGAUACUCCCAAGUCCAUUGCUGAGGCAUAUGCAUCACCAGAUGCAGAUGAUUGGAAAGAAGCUGUCCAGAAUGAGAUGGACUCGAUUCUUUCUAAUGGAACAUGGGAAUUAUCAGAGCGCCCCCAUGGCUGUAAGCCUGUGGGCUGCAAGUGGGUGUUCAAGAAGAAGCUAAGGCCUGAUGGUACUAUUGAGAAGUACAAGGCGAGACUUGUGGCGAAAGGCUACACACAGAGAGAAGGCGAAGAUUACUUUGACACCUAUUCACCUGUCGCAAGACUAACCACCAUUCGAGUACUACUUUCCAUGGCUGCCUCCUAUGGUCUUAUCGUUCAUCAAAUGGACGUAAAGACAGCUUUCCUUAAUGGAGAGUUGGAAGAGGAAAUCUAUAUGGAUCAGCCUGAUGGAUUUGUGGUAAAAGGUGAAGAGACAAAGGUGUGCAAGUUGCUAAAAUCUUUAUAUGGCCUGAAACAAGCACCUAAGCAAUGGCAUGAGAAGUUUGACAGAACUUUAACUUCUGUUGGCUUUGUCGUUAAUGAGGCUGAUAAGUGCGUAUACUAUCGCCAUGGUGGGGGCGAAGGUGUUAUAUUGUGUCUGUACGUUGAUGAUAUUCUCAUCUUUGGUACAAACAUGAAUGUGAUACUUGAAGUCAAGUCUUUCUUGUCAAAGUGCUUUGAUAUGAAAGAUCUGGGAGAAGCUGAUGUGAUCCUGAACAUCAAACUGAAUAAGAAUGAGAGUGGGAUUACUUUAUCGCAAUCCCACUAUGUUGAGAAGAUCUUGAGCCGGUUUGGCUUUAUUGAUGGCAAGUCUUCUCCAACACCUUAUGAUCCCAGUGUGAUAUUGCGUAAGAACAAGAACGAACCAACAGACCAACUGAGAUAUUCUCAGAUCAUAGGUUCACUCAUGUACUUAGCGAGCGCGACAAGACCUGACAUCUCUUUUGCUGUGAGCAAGUUGAGUAGGUUCAUGUCAAACCCGGGUAUUGAUCAUUGGCAUGCACUUGAAAGGGUCAUGCGCUAUCUAUGUGGUACAAUGAGUUACGGGAUUCACUAUUCUGGGCACCCAGCUGUGCUUGAAGGAUAUAGUGACGCAAACUGGAUCUCUGAUGUAGAUGAUAUCAAAGCCACUAGUGGGUAUGUGUUUACCUUUGGAGGUGGCGCCGUAUCAUGGAGAUCAUGUAGGCAAACCAUAUUGACGAGGUCAACUAUGGAAGCAGAACUUACUGCUUUAGACACAGCCACUGUAGAGUCAGAAUGGCUGCGUGAGCUCUUGAUGGACUUGCUGGUGGUUGAAAAACCUGUGCCGGCCAUCCUCUUGAAUUGUGACAACCAAACAGUUAAAAGACGUUUGAAGUCUGUCAGGAAAUUGCGAAACUCCGGAGUAAUAACUGUUACGUAUAUUCAAACAGACAAAAACCUGGCAGAUCCCUUUACUAAGGGGCUAUCACGUGUGAUAGAUAGUGCAUCGAGGGAGAUGGGUUUGAGACCCAUAGAUGUUAUGCCAUAG
rnacentral:rRNA from 1 species